rnacentral:rRNA from 1 species
CCUACGGGUGGCAGCAGUGGGGGAUAUUGCACAAUGGGCGCAAGCCUGAUGCAGCGACGCCGCGUGGAGGAAGAAGGUUUUCGGAUUGUAAACUCCUGUCUUCAGGGACGAUAAUGACGGUACCUGAGGAGGAAGCCACGGCUAACUACGUGCCAGCAGCCGCGGUAAUACGUAGGUGGCAAGCGUUAUCCGGAUUUAUUGGGUGUAAAGGGCGUGUAGGCGGGAAUGCAAGUCAGAUGUGAAAACUAUGGGCUCAACCCAUAGCCUGCAUUUGAAACUGUAUUUCUUGAGUGCUGGAGAGACAAUCGGAAUUCCGUGUGUAGCGGUGAAAUGCGUAGAUAUACGGAGGAACACCAGUGGCGAAGGCGGAUUGCUGGACAGUAACUGACGCUGAGGCGCGAAAGCGUGGGGAGCAAACAGGAUUAGAUACCCGGGUAGUC